AAUAACUCAACUUAAUCUACUUCAGAAACAUAACAAAUGCAGAAACCAGCAAAGCUCAAGUACCGAUGCCAAAUUAAACUAUUAAAUUCUAGAUGGAAAUUAAAGGCCGAUAAAAGAUAACGUAGAAAAGGAAAGCAAUUAUGGAAACGAAAUAAAAUGAUGAAAAUUAAUACUCUAACCUAGAUUACAGAAAUGGAAUUGUAAAUCAUAAAACAUAACAUAAACGAAACUGAAUUCAACAGAUUAAAAUUAAAAGGAAAAUGCGAGUACCAAUGAAUGUCACGAGAAUAGAUCCACGCGUCACUGCUUACAACCUCUAUGGAAUUCCACUACUGAAAAAUGAAAAUCUCACUGAAAAACAAAAAGCUAACAGGACAAGACUCGAAACCCUAAAAACGUUUUGGUGCCAGAAUGUGGGCGGAAGUAUGAUUAACCUAACACUGAGAGUCUCGCCCCCCUUUUAUACUCCAAAAUAAAAACACGCUCUUAAGC
rnacentral:lncRNA from 1 species